UUUCUUUAUUUGCAUUCAAUACACUACACAGUAUAGACAGUAUAGUACAUGAAACCCCUACGGGUGUGACAAAAGAUAAAAAUUAAUACGAGUAUUUACAGAACAGAGUCAAUAAUUAUAGCAGUUAAAAAAGUCAAAGUGAAAUAUAACACAUAUUAUAAAUAAGAAUAUAAAAAACAUGUUCGCUUGUAUAGAGACUAGGAAACAAAAACAUACAAUACAAUACUCUUUAUUGAACACCUCACAUAGUUUACAAUAAAUGUACAGAAACAAACAAAGACAGUUUGAUAGAGGUAACAACAGGCGGUCUUAUCGCUUAAGAGCGAUCUCUUCCAGACAACCUUUGGGUAUCGGAGACAAUAAAAUUAGAAUAUACGGUAGGUAGCACAAAGAAAAGCAACAAAAUAAUAAUAAUAAUUAAAAGUCGAAUAGAAUAGUAUAACCAAACAACACAAGACAUUAAUAUGAAUAAACAUACUUAAAUACGUCUAACCAUAAACAUACAUAGACAUACAUACAUAACAAAUAUUUAUUAAAUAAAGAAACAACAGUGUCGUUAAUAAUAAUUUAAAAAAAACUAUGACAGGGAAAGAUAGUAUUCCUUAAGGUUUGAUUUGAAGGAGGUAAUAGAUUGAGAACGUCUUAACUCAACAGGGAGAGAGUUCCACAGUCGAACAGCCUGGGAAGUAAAUGAGCAAUUAUUAAAUUUGGAAGAGGAAGAUGGCACAGAUAGGAGCAAAUUUUGAGAGGAUCUAACAGAAUUCAGAUAAGAGAAACGCUCUUUAAGAUAGCGGGGAGUUGCAGGAUUAAAAAGUAUAGAAUAAAGCAAAGAAAGUAUGUGGGAGUUACGACGAUGACGGAUAAGGAGCCACUUGAGUUGGGAUCGGAAACUGGAAACAUGGUCAUAUUUGCGUAACCCGAAUAUGAACCGAAAAAAUUACAAUAUCAAAUGAAUAUAGGGAAGUAUGGCUUUGAAAUAUGUCAUCAAUAUUAUAAUAACAGCCUUUCAGUAGAAACGUUUUGAGGGACUUCUUAAAAACAUGGUACUCUCGUAUUUCCUUAAAUUCGUUUGGUAGCCUAAUGUACAAAUUUACUGCUUGGUAGCGUACAGAGUGUUUAGCCACUUGGAAUUUCGGGAUAAAAUUAUUGAAAAUAUUUUUCUUAAGUGUUUCUAAAUGAAGUUGUCUAUCUUCCUCUAUUUCAUACAGAUUUUUAACAAAUGACGUAAGAAGUACGUGUACAAUCAAACUAGGUAGUGUAAGAAUUCGUAGCUUAACAAAAAGUUCUCUACAAGAAACCCAUUGAGGGUACGUACGUGUCAUUGUCCUAAUUGUUCUUUAUUGUAAAACAAAAGCUCUAUUUAUAUUGUUUCUAAAACCAUUUCCCCAGAAUCGAAUGCUGUAUCUCAAUUUGGAUUCCACUAAAGAGUGAUAAACCAUUUUGAAAUGUUGCAUAUCUAUCAUUACUUUUUAGACAGAAAUUACUAUAUUUAUUAAUCAUGACAAUAGUUUUGCCCAAGCUGAACAGGAGACCCUCGAUAACGCGCGGUAAAUUGUAAAAAAAAAUGAGUUUUCAGAUUUUUUCCUUUGUAUACGCCUAAUAGUUUACCUUCAUGCCAAAUAUCAAGUUCAAGACCAUCUAGAAGUUGGGUAUGUUUUUGAUUUAUAUAAGUCUUAAUUCAUUAUCAAAAUAUGUUUUUUUAAUCACAAUUUCAAUCAUUUUUAGUGUUCAGAUUUUUUUCUCUAUGAACACCUAAAAGCCUACUUUCGUACCAAAUAUCAAGUUUCUAGGUCAUCUGGAAGUGGGUUAGGUUUUUGAUCUAUGAAACUUAAUUGUUCUAAUGAUCGUAUAUGAUUAUUUCCAUCGAAUUAUCAAAUAAUUUUCAGCUUUUAGUUUUCGUCUACAUAUGCAUAAUCUACCUUGAUGCCAAGUAUCCAGUUUCUAGGUCAUCUGGAAGUGGGUUAGGUUUUUGAUCUAUAAGUCUAAAUUUUAUCCAUAAAUGUUUGUUUUUUAUCUAAUUACCAAUCAUUUUCAGUUUUCAGAUUGUUUCCUCUAUAAACACCUAAUAGUCUACCUUGAUGCCAAAUUUCAAGAUCUUAUGAAUCGUGUAAAAGUGCCCUUGUGGCCUAUUUGCUGAAUAAAUGCUGAAGUUGAAGAAGGAGUUGAAGUUGAAGUUCAUCAUCUGGAAGUGGGCGUAGAGCUCUAUGAAGAACCAUCUCACUUGCCUGGUGUCCAUCGGCGGCGGUAAUCGCUAACCAUCAGGUGACCCGUCUGCUCGUUUGCCUCCUCUAUCAUAAAAAAAAAUUAUAUUGAUUUAAAUUUGUCAUGUUUAUAUAAUGAUUAUUAAAUUAAUUGGUAAUGUCAUUAGGAUUAUCUAAUAUUAUGUCGUGUACAACUAAUUUACUUGGACUUCCUUCCAUAUUAUGAGUUCUCGCCAUACUUUUUAUGGGACAUCAUUCUUCUUAAGUAGCUUUACAUAUAUUAUUACAAUUAGACCUAGCUAUAUAUUUGCAGUUAGUCAAUUUCUGAGCCUGGUGUAUGCAUCGUUACAUAAGUCGAGAAUAGUUGCGAUAUUUAUUUUUAUGGGAGAUCUUUUUAGGGUUCCGUAGCCAAAUGGCAAAAAACGGAACCCUUAUAGAUUCGUCAUGUCCGUCUGUCUGUCCGAUUCUGUCACA